rnacentral:lncRNA from 1 species
GACUUAUCAAAAUCAAAUAGAAGUAGACCAAAACUUUAUAGUGCCUGAGGGCUGGGCUUGAAUUGUAUGGGCAGGAAAUGAAUACAUUCUCCCAUGUGUAUCACAAUUAAGGUGUAAAUGCACUUCCAAGAAAACAAUAGUUUGCUUAUUACAGUUGUCAAAAAGAUACCGUACAAUUCUUUAACAAACAAGGGGUUUAGAGCAAUGGCAGAGUUCGAAUUUGAAAUUUUAGUCAUUUCUUUAUGGCCGAUAUCAACUCUACUAUACUAACGUUAAAGUUGUAUUCUGACAUCCUGUGAUAGGAAGAAUCUCAUGUACCUAACGUUUCUUUGUCCUUCUGUCAAUGACGAAUCUAUCUGCUGUCUGAAAACCUCUGCCACGUCCUUCGGCCAUUCGUAUGGCAAAAACCGUCAAGACUGUCUAUCCGUGUCGAAAUAGUCUUUUAAUUUUCUUUAUUUUCUCCCGUCCGUUUUCCAACGACGCGAAGUCAAUCUGAUUAUCUUCAAUCCUUAUUGUAGUCUCGUACCGGUUAUGGACAUCUGCCAAAGUCGUCACUUAGAACUCAAGCAAGCUUUCCUUCAAUUUCUGGAAAACGUUGAACUUCUCGGAUUCAUACCCUUGGUGAAUGAUUCAGCUGCCCAUUCAUCCGGAACAGUCAGGAGCAACAUCCUCUCCUUUUAGAACCGGGUAUGAAUUCUCGCAGCAACUCGCACACUCCUUGUCCAAUUCUGAAUAUGUCGUUUUUUUGGGCAUGCACCUUUCUGGCUUCGGCAUGAACCUUAAUAUAAGAAUUCGCGAGCAUCUCAAAGAAAUAUAUGGAAUACUCGGGCAACAACGAAUACCACGUCGAGGCUCCUUUCGUGAGAGUCUUUCCGAAUUUCUUCAGCAGAGCUAAAUUGUUUCCCUUCACUACUGUUAUAUAGGUGGUAAUAUGCUCUUGAGGGUCUGAAUUUCCAUCAUACUUCAUCAUGUCGGACAUUUUAAACCGCUUCGGGAUUGAUUCUAGUCUUACGACGACCGAAUAUACUCCUUAGAAUCUGGCCCUUUCAGCAUCGGUGGUGCACUCGGAAUUUGGUCCAUGCGGCCGUUUACUUUUCUCACAAACCGUAGGAGCUCGCUCUUGAAGGGAUCAUUUUCGUUGUUGGGGACAUAUUUGCUCCCCUCAGCCCCAUCAAAGCCAACCACGCCCCUCGGGGUGUUGUUGUCGAUCCUCUAUGUUGUUUGAUCCGUGGGAGCACCAGGACGAACCGGAUCAUGACAUUGUGUAUGUUGUUAACACCAUUAUCUUUCAUUUUAUGUGAUUUUUUGCUAAGACAAAUAAUCAAAACAUGUUCGUAAAAGAGGCAAGAAUCAACUUAAUUGCACGACUAUCUAGGCACCACAGUAGGCGCUAAACUGUUUACCUUAAAAUAGUACAAUUAGAUUAAUACGUAAUUUUUAGAAAAGAAAAUUUAUUCGUUCCUGAAAUAAUAAAAUAAUUAAAAAUUAAGCAAUACUUAGUAUUGAAAUGAAGGCAAAAUAGCAAAAGCAGCAAUUUCGGGAGGAGGAUUUUAGGGCACAAAAGUAAUGAAAUCAAGGAGUAAGAAGAUAAAUAUAUAAAGCUUUCUAUUGAUUAUAGCAAAAGUUUGCUAGAAAAUUCGUAUAUUUACAAUGAUAGUAGGGCUCACUAUUUAUAGCUAUAUGUAGGGAAUAAGGUCCUAGGAUCAAAUCCUUCCAAUUAUGCCGGUGAUUGAAGGAUAUGUAAUGGCAUGCAUGAAUGCCAUAUUCUUUUAUAACGGGCAUUGAGUAAGUGUUGUAGAAUAUUCUUUAUUAAAUACUACCAGGUAACCGAUAUUUAUUGCAUCUUUAUAAGUAUCUUUCUUUCUGAUAACAAAUGGAACAAUUAUCUUUCCUUGUGGCUAUCUCAUGCCUCGAGCUCCACGCGUCGCCUUCUUAUACAACUAUUUAGCAUACAUAUUUUACCCUAUAUAAAAUCUUAAAAUAUGCUAAUCAACUUUGUUGGUUUAAGUCCAUUUGGUAAAAUAGAAAUAUAUAGUUAAGUCGAUAGACAUCAAUUGAAGAUAAUUCUAACACUUCUGCAAAUUCUAGUAAGG